rnacentral:pre_miRNA from 1 species
AGAGGUUAACCGUGUUAUGUUCGCUUGUUCAUCAUGAAUAAUACAUGGUUAACCUCUUU